rnacentral:rRNA from 1 species
AGACGAUGGGGAUGCGUUCCAUUAGAUAGUAGGCGGGGUAACGGCCCACCUAGUCUUCGAUGGAUAGGGGUUCUGAGAGGAAGGUCCCCCACAUUGGAACUGAGACACGGUCCAAACUCCUACGGGAGGCAGCAGUGAGGAAUAUUGGUCAAUGGGCGAGAGCCUGAACCAGCCAAGUAGCGUGAAGGAUGACUGCCCUAUGGGUUGUAAACUUCUUUUAUAAAGGAAUAAAGUCGGGUAUGGAUACCCGUUUGCAUGUACUUUAUGAAUAAGGAUCGGCUAACUCCGUGCCAGCAGCCGCGGUAAUACGGAGGAUCCGAGCGUUAUCCGGAUUUAUUGGGUUUAAAGGGAGCGUAGAUGGAUGUUUAAGUCAGUUGUGAAAGUUUGCGGCUCAACCGUAAAAUUGCAGUUGAUACUGGAUAUCUUGAGUGCAGUUGAGGCAGGCGGAAUUCGUGGUGUAGCGGUGAAAUGCUUAGAUAUCACGAAGAACUCCGAUUGCGAAGGCAGCCUGCUAAGCUGCAACUGACAUUGAGGCUCGAAAGUGUGGGUAUCAAACAGGAUUAGAUACCCUGGUAGUCCACACGGUAAACGAUGAAUACUCGCUGUUUGCGAUAUACGGCAA